rnacentral:rRNA from 1 species
GAGUUUGAUCCUGGCUCAGGACGAACGCUGGCGGCGUGCUUAACACAUGCAAGUCGAACGGAGUGCCUAAGAAAGAGGAUUCGUCCAAUGGAUUAGGUUACUUAGUGGCGGACUGGUGAGUAACGCGUGAGGAACCUGCCUUCCAGAGGGGGACAACAGUUGGAAACGACUGCUAAUACCGCAUGAUACGUCGAAGCCGCAUGACUUUGACGUCAAAGAUUUAUCGCUGGAAGAUGGCCUCGCGUCUGAUUAGCUAGUUGGUGGGGUAACGGCCCACCAAGGCGACGAUCAGUAGCCGGACUGAGAGGUUGGCCGGCCACAUUGGGACUGAGAUACGGCCCAGGCUCCUACGGGAGGCAGCAGUGGGGAAUAUUGGGCAAUGGACGCAAGUCUGACCCAGCAACGCCGCGUGAAGGAAGAAGGCUUUCGGGCUGUAAACUUCUUUUAAGGGGGAAGAGCAGAAGACGGUACCCCUUGAAUAAGCCACGGCUAACUACGUGCCAGCAGCCGCGGUAAUACGUAGGUGGCAAGCGUUGUCCGGAUUUACUGGGUGUAAAGGG